GUCACAUUUUAACACUGGGGCCACCGUUGACCGACAAGAAGAGAGAUCAAACCAAGUGAAAGACUCCACCUCCCACCCUCUCUGGGUAGACUACUGGCAUGGAAUGGAACCCGGGAAGCAAUGCAGCCAAUGAGUUACAGCAUACACUGCCAUGCUGAAAAGAGGGAAAAGUCCCCUGGACUUCAAAGCAGAGACAGAGAAAAUCCUGUCACUCUUCUCUCCGGGGCGGCACUCCCACCCACACUUAGCCAUGUUCCCUGUUCCCUGGAGCUGGCUGAUAUGGCUGCUACCACUGUGGGAAUACAUUGGAGGAAGACCUGAGGUCAACAUUCAUACAAAUCAAAUAACAAUUAAAGGGGCAAUCUGAUUGAUGUAUCAAUCCCAGAUUUACCAUUUAAAUAUCAGGAAAAGACAAACACAAAGGGUUAAACUAGAGAGGCAGAGAGAUGCUGCUCUAUUGUCAAUGUCAACUCUGCUGAGGGCUACAACAAUGCCUCAAAAGAUUUCUCAUACACCUGCAAGGAGGAGUUAUUCUACACACUGGGUGAAGCAGUGCUUGGGAAUAUAGGGAGAAUAGGGUUAAGUAUCAGUGAAAAAGGGGGUGGAGACAGAGAACAGGCAGGGAGAGAGAAAGCAUUCACUACAUAACAAGUAAAGGAAAAAGGCAUUGACUGGCAGAUACUGAAGCACAUUCCCUUUACUGAAACCUGUCACGUCCCUCCUCUGCUCUUAGAAAAAAAUAUAGUCUAACCAUUUUAGGUGCCCGGUCUGGGCAUCGAAGAAAUACCUAACACUUUUCAUACACACACUCUCAGGUGUCCUUUGGAAUAGCAUGAGCGGGCAUGCCCCCGAUACACCUACACAACCUACCCACUCAGGUUAUUCAAUGCAAUCCAAUUCAACAUAACUUUAUAGUCAGUAAGUCACUUUUAGGUGUGUCGUUGUCAUCUACCAAGGCCCUCCCCACAAGCCCCCACCCAGGAGAAGACAGAUGUGUAAAUAUCUUUCUCUCUCCCUCAGCCACUUUCCAUUCAAAAUCCAAAGAAGUGAAAUCCCAUCAGAUAAACAUUUUCUCUUUCUGCACCAGCGAUCUGAACAAGCGACUGGCUGCUACAUUCUUAUCUUAUCGCCACAACAAUCUCUCUGGAGUCUCGUCAUGCCCAAACAGGGAGAGAGAGACUCAAUGAAAGUAGUGCAAUUUUGGCCCCCACUUAUGUAUGUACAUACCCACACACACUAUGACUCGCAUACACCCAUACACACACACACACACACACACACACACACACACACACUCACACACACACAUACAUACACCGUUGCACACUAAACUGCUCUCCCACAUAUACUUGCCACUACUGCUUCUGGCUGUGUAUCUGGCCAAAUAACAUUGGAAAGAAGCCCUCUCUCUUUUUCCCUCCCUCUCC